UAGGUUUGGACUAAGUCAAACAUCUUCAAGUCUGACCAAGUUUAUAGAAAAAUGUUGCAGCAUUUCCAACACAAACAAACAUACUAAAGAAUAUAUAUUCAAUGGUGUAUUUAAUGAAACUAAUUUGGUGCUGUAGAUGUUGCUACAUUUUUCUAUAAACUUGAUCAGACUUGAAGAAGUUUGACUUAGGACAAACCCAA
rnacentral:pre_miRNA from 1 species